rnacentral:rRNA from 1 species
GACGAACGCUGGCGGCGUGCCUAAUACAUGCAAGUAGAACGCACAGUUUAUACCUUAGCUUGCUACACCAUAGACUGUGAGUUGCGAACGGGUUAGUAACGCGUAGGUAACCUGCCUGGUAGCGGGGGAUAACUAGUGGAAACAAUAGCUAAUACCUCAUAAUAUUAAUUAUUGCAUGAUAAUUAAUUGAAAUUUGCAAUUGCACCACUACCAGAUGGACCUGCGUUGUAUUAGCUAGUAGGUGAGGUAACGGCUCAUCUAGGCGAGGAUACAUAGCCGAACGGAUAGGGUGAUCGGCCACACUGGGAGUGAGACACGGCACAGACUACUAGGGGAGGCAGCAGUAGGGAAUCUUGGGCAAGGGACGAAAGUCUGACCGAGCAACGCCGAGGGAGUGAAGAAGGAUGUCGGAUCGUAAAGCUCGGUUGUAAGAGAAGAAAGGGUGUGAGAGUGGAAAGUUCACAGUGUGACGGUAACGUAUCAGAAAGGGACGGCUAACUACGUG